GUGGGGAAUCUUGCGCAAUGGGCGAAAGCCUGACGCAGCCAUGCCGCGUGAAUGAUGAAGGUCUUAGGAUUGUAAAAUUCUUUCACCGGGGACGAUAAUGACGGUACCCGGAGAAGAAGCACCGGCUAACUUCGUGCCAGCAGCCGCGGUAAUACGAAGGGGGCUAGCGUUGCUCGGAAUUACUGGGCGUAAAGGGCGCGUAGGAGGACAGUGUAGUCAGAGGUGAAAGCCCAGGGCUCAACCUUGGAAUUGCCUGUGAUACUGGCUGUCUUGAGUACGGGAGAGGUGAGUGGAACUCCGAGUGUAGAGGAGAAAUUCGUAGAUAUUCGGAAGAACACCAGUGGCGAAGGCGACUCACUGGCCCGUUACUGACGCUGAGGCGCGAAAGCGUGGGGAGCAAACAGGAUUAGAAACCCGGGUAGUCC
rnacentral:rRNA from 1 species